GAAUAUUGGACAAUGGGCAAAAGCCUGACGCAGCGACGCCGCGUGUGGGAUGACGGCCUUCGGGUUGUAAACCACUGUCGGGGGGGACGAAACAAAUGACGGUACCCCCAAAGGAAGCACCGGCUAACUCUGUGCCAGCAGCCGCGGUAAUACAGAGGGUGCGAGCGUUGUUCGGAAUUACUGGGCGUAAAGGGCGCGUAGGCGGUUCGGUAAGUAGGGGGUGAAAUUCCACGGCUCAACCGUGGGACGGCCUUCUAGACUGCCGGACUUGAGCACGGUAGAGGCAGAUGGAAUUCCCGGUGUAGCGGUGGAAUGCGUAGAGAUCGGGAAGAACACCAGUGGCGAAGGCGGUCUGCUGGGCCGUUGCUGACGCUGAGGCGCGACAGCGUGGGGAGCAAACAGG
rnacentral:rRNA from 1 species